rnacentral:misc_RNA from 1 species
UACGUAGGGGGCAAGCGUUGACCGGAAUUAUUGGGCGUAAAGCGCGCGCAGGCGGUUCUUUAAGUUUGAUGUGAAAUCUUGCGGCUUAACCGCAAGCGGGCAUUGGAAACUGGGGGGCUAGAGUGCAGAAGAGGAGAGCGGAAUUUCAUGUGUAGCGGUGAAAUGCGUAGAUAUGUGGAGGAACACCAGUGGCGAAGGCGGCUCUCUGGUCUGUAACUGACGCUGAGGCGCGAAAGCGUGGGGAGCAAACAGG